rnacentral:rRNA from 1 species
AUGAACGCUAGCGGCAGGCUUAACCCCUGCAAGUCGCGGGGUAUUUAUCUUCGGAUAGAGAGACCGGCGCACGGGUGCGUAACGCGUAUGCAAUCUACCUUUUACAGAGGGAUAGCCCAGAGAAAUUUGGAUUAAUACCUCAUAGUAUAUAGACUCGGCAUCGAGAUUAUAUUAAAGUCACAACGGUAAAAGAUGAGCAUGCGUCCCAUUAGCUAGUUGGUAAGGUAACGGCUUACCAAGGCUACGAUGGGUAGGGGUCCUGAGAGGGAGAUCCCCCACACUGGUACUGAGACACGGACCAGACUCCUACGGGAGGCAGCAGUGAGGAAUAUUGGACAAUGGGCGCAAGCCUGAUCCAGCCAUGCCGCGUGCAGGAUGACGGUCCUAUGGAUUGUAAACUGCUUUUAUACGAGAAGAAACACUGCUACGUGUAGCAGCUUGACGGUAUCGUGAGAAUAAGAAUCGGCUAACUCCGUG